ensembl:lncRNA
CUGUCAUAGGUGCUAGUAUGUGUGUGUGAUCCGGUAUAGGCUGGAGAGUAAAAGACAUGUUGUAUCAUGGGAUUGAGCCCCGCCUCCUUUGGAUUCUUGAAGACUGCGGGGAAGAACCGGCUCUUCUUGUCCCUAGAGAACCUCUGUCUUCCGGACAACUGGACUCUCAGCAUCGGAUCCUCACCAUGAAACUCUGUAAUUCCCAGUGUCAAGCUGCACAAAUCCUAUUGGAUAGAGAGAAGAUAGGAAGAGGGGUGGCGAGGAGGUGCAUCCUUCCGCAACUGUUCUUGACCUGAAAAUUCGAUUUCAUAAAACAUGCCCUGCCAGACACCCAUCAAGAACCGGACUUCGACUUACUCCCAGUAAGUACUCCUGGAAUACCGGUUGAAAGGAUUUGUUUUUAAGAGGUACGUAAGCAUGGAUGAAACACUGAUUGACACAUUAGGAAAAGGAAUUCAAGAUAUCAAAACACGCCAAGGAAGAAAAAAAAAAAACACUGCAAAAUACAACAUUACGAC